rnacentral:lncRNA from 1 species
AAUACAACAAAGAUAACCAAACAUAUCAAUACAAGAAAGAUAACCAAACAUACAUCAAACAUAGUACACUAACAUGAAAAUUAACAUAACAAACUUGAGGAAUGGAAAACCUGAAAAUUCAACUCCAAAUUUUCUUCAUUUCCUAAGCAUAAACCAUUGAACCGAACCGAACUAUUCCAAAUCCAAAUUCAACUCCCCACCUUGAUCCACCAAGAAACACAGCAAGUUCACAAUUCACAUGCCAAAUUAGGGUUUCUAAGGCAGGAGCUAUGAGGACAAGGAAAUUCAGGCUACCAAAUUCAACGGCGAGAAUCUGAGGACGCAGACGACAGCCUGUCAGAUAAACCGCCAUGCAUCUCCUCAUCAUCACCUCCAAUUCGUGCCGGCACACGAAAACCAGAAAAGCCACCAGAAGCAAAUCCGGCACCCGAACCACCCGCUUGAAGUCGAUAAUCAGCCGCAACAAAUGUCGCCGGCGCAUCUAACCAAGCACGAACUGAAGGAUUGUAACUGGACUGAAGGGGUCCCCUCUGUGAAAGAUACUGAUUCUGACCAUACAUCACCGCCGGAAAAACAACCGGCGACGGCGAAGAACCAUGAAACACAAAACCAUCACCACCACCGCCACCACUACCAGUAUCAAUAGUAGUAGCACCACCACCGGAAUUCCACGUCACCAUUCCAUCAAAAUUCCCGGUGAAAAGCACGUGCUGUUGCACGUGUUGAUUCUGAUUCUGUUGAAGCGAAAGCUUCAAAUCAUUCCUAAACGACGCCGUUUCAGGUAUUUCAUUUUGAAACGGAAUGAAACUGUUGCUGUUACCAUUAUUGCUAAAAUUCUGAACAAAACGAAACUCGUUUUCGUUUUGACUCUGUUCCUCUGAAACGUCGUCGUUUUGUUGCUUUUGCUGUUGCUGUUUGAAAAGAGUGGGUUUCCAUGGAGGAAGAUGAGCAAGUUGAUCGAUGGCAGGCUUAGCUUUAUUAAUGAGCCAAUCAAGUGCUUUACUGGGCCUAUCAAAGCCCAGUCGAUCUUGAACAUCGUAAAAUUCAAUAGCGGUAUGGGCCGAGAGACGAACGCGUCUGUCUCUCGGCCCUUUCGCCGUGCAAACUUUACUAUGACGAUCUUUUCGACCUCUUGACCUUAUAAUGUGACCUCCGUCAACUUCCACUAUUUCUCCACCGUUCAUUGCUCCUCCAUAAUCCAAACCACUAGAACUAGAACGACACCGUUUUUUGGUUUGUGUUAACGGAAGAACGUUUCCUUCAGUUAAAUUUACUACAUGUUUUUGGUUUAAUAAUACGACAUCGUUCUGAUGAGGGUGUUGGUGAUGGUGGUGGUGGUUGUUGCUUGGAGGAUCCAGACUCUUCUAGUGUUGUUGAUUAUUCUUUUUUAAUAAAGUUAUUUAUUGGCAUUCAAUAUUGCAAGUUCCAUGCCAAAAUGGAAAAGUUUGAAGUACAAUUAGGUCAGGGUAAAGAGAAAGGUGUAUAGGGAAGAGGAAAUCAUUAUGAGAGGUGGCAGUGGUGUUUGGUUAGAGGAUUAAAGUUUCUGUGUAAUUUUGUUUCAUCACUGCUGUUCUUGUAUUGUAUUGUAUUGUAGUGUACUUGUAUGUGUAAGCUGGAUGCUACUCAUACAUAAUGGUACUAUACCAACUCAUCUAUAAUUCAUUCAAUCACCAAAACAAAACUCA